rnacentral:rRNA from 1 species
UACGGAGGGUGCAAACGUUGCUCGGAAUCAUUGGGCGUAAAGCGCACGUAGGCGGACCGAUAAGUCGGAUGUGAAAGCCCUCGGCUUAACCGAGGAAGUGCAUUCGAAACUGACAGUCUUGAGUAUGGAAGAGGGUCGCGGAAUUCCCGGUGUAGAGGUGAAAUUCGUAGAUAUCGGGAGGAACACCAGUGGCGAAGGCGGCGUCCUGGGCCAAUACUGACGCUGAGGUGCGAAAGCGUGGGGAGCAAACAGG